AUCGGACUGUGCAAGCACGAGAGGGGUAUACAGGCAUACAGCGGAUUCAUAAACCGUCAGAGUGUUAGGACAAGAUGGUGGCCAAUGGUGAUGCACCUGCUAGAGGGAGCGCGGCGGCAGCCGCAAGCCUGCGUAGGCGUAGGACCACAAGCGGUGCUGCUGCUGGUGGAGGCGGUGCCAGCUCAAUGCUCCAAUUCUACACUGAUGAGGCUGCCGGCCGCAAAAUGUCACCAAACACUGUUCUGAUCAUGAGUAUUGGGUUCGUAGCCGUCGUUGCUGUGCUCCAUGUAUUCGGGAAGCUGUACCGCACCUCCAACUAGGUUGGCAUUGCCAUAUCCAAGAAAGCUGAGUCCACCAAGAGAGGAUUCCUGUAGAACAAUUUAAAUGGAUAGCAAGUGACUAUCAGACUCUGUUGUAGAAGUUUAUUUAUACAACUUGCAAUGCUGCGAGGCUAUUCAUAAAUGCCUGCGAGUUUUGUUUAAGUC